AGCUGUGUGGUAGGACGCAUAAUGGCGAUAUGGGACGUAAAACAUAAAGAGUUUUUUUAAAAAUAUGUCCAUACGAGAGAGAACGCCUAGUGUGGUGUGUGCUUGACUACUUCAUUCCGUCCGAACUCCUGAUCCAUUCUAUCCGAUUCAUAGUCAUGACGUAAAGGGGCAAUGCGGCAACUGCCCGAAGAAGCAUGGUGCCUUUCUGUACGGAAGUAUUUGUCAAGCUGAGUCCCCAGCAGGCAGGUGUUACGAAAAUACCAAUCGUACAAACGACACGACUACACUGUAACUGCGAGAAAAACAAACAGCGAAAGCAAGCAAUCGACAAGAACAAAAGCCUGCUGGAGAACAAGAUCUUUCCCGAGAUUUUUCUUUCCAUACUGGUGACACGCAGUUAUAAGAAGCCAGCCGUCGUUCAAAGGCCCUAAAUCCUGUCAGACAAAAAAGACUCUGACAGGACCUUCAACAGGACAGUUUAUAAAUGUUUAAGUGACAUUGAUCGCUAACAACGGUACUACCACUCCUUGCCCCCUUUUUACCAAUCGCCAUACAGAUUCAUUGUGUCGACACUGAUGAAGGAAAUUGAAAAGGAAAAUGAUGCUGUGGGAACAUGCAAAGAUCGAAAUAAAAGAUGGGCAGUUUUG